GAUGAACGCUGGCGGCGUGCCUAAUACAUGCAAGUCGAGCGAACUGAUUAGAAGCUUGCUUCUAUGACGUUAGCGGCGGACGGGUGAGUAACACGUGGGCAACCUGCCUGUAAGACUGGGAUAACUUCGGGAAACCGAAGCUAAUACCGGAUAGGAUCUUCUCCUUCAUGGGAGAUGAUUGAAAGAUGGUUUCGGCUAUCACUUACAGAUGGGCCCGCGGAGCAUUAGCUAGUUGGUGAGGUAACGGCUCACCGAGGCAACGAUGCAUAGCAGACCUGAGAGGGUGAUCGGCCACACUGGGACUGAGACACGGCCCAGACUCCUACGGGAGGCAGCAGUAGGGAAUCUUCCGCAAUGGACGAAAGUCUGACGGAGCAACGCCGCGUGAGUGAUGAAGGCUUUCGGGUCGUAAAACUCUGUUGUUAGGGAAGAACAAGUACAAGAGUAACUGCUUGUACCUUGACGGUACCUAACCAGAAAGCCACGGCUAACUACGUGCCAGCCGCCGCGGUAAGAC
rnacentral:rRNA from 1 species